AGGGUCAGAAUCAGGUAUGGCUUGAGUUUGUUCUGGGACUGGUCGGUCAAUAACUUUUCCACUUCGCAAAGUUAUUAUACUCUUCGCUUGUUCUUUAUGUGAAGUUGAAGAUGAUGCAUUGCUACCGCCGUAGAUUUGAGGAUUAGGUUGUGGUUGAGCUGGUAGCUUACCCUUCUCUUGAGCACUUAAAGCAGUGGUCAGCGUUGUCAGUUGAUUUCUUAAGUCAUCAUUGAUUUUAGCUUGACCUUGCAUGAAAGAUUGCAAAGUUUCUUCGAGACUGGGUUUUUGAGGGGGUGC
rnacentral:lncRNA from 1 species